AUUCCCCACGCGUUCAUCAUAUCCCGUCCCCAACGAUGGACUCAUAUUACUGUUUUUUAUUUUCUGUAAUUUUUAUAGAUUUUUCUGAGAAGAUUGAAUUUUGGACAAAUUUGAAUUAUUUUUUAAACCUUUAUGGCGCUUGGAAGACUCGAACGUACUGCUGAACGUUGUAAAUAGGGGUAUUAUGAUAAAUACUGUUAUAUACGCUUAAAUACAUGUAUUUUAUGAACACUUAUUGGUCUUAAGUGGUCUUAAGGAGUCUGCAGAGUUGAGCCACUGGGUGGUACUGCCUAGUGACCCAGCCUCCUUGCACGACGUGCUUCCCAUUUGGUUCCUGUAGUCUUCUCGUCCAACCUCAAACCUGUCUGACUUCGGAGUUCCGAAAAUGUUUAUUAGUCCAUGUUUGCCUGCAACACUUGUAUCUAAUAGUAUAAUUCUGUACCGAAUUGCAUGUCAAUGCUGAUAUAUUAUAUUGCCCUGUAAUCAUAUUUUGCAUUUUCUAGUCCCCGUCGAAGGCGCUAUGUGAAAGGGCCACCCCGGCGCCCAUCGCCACGUACUAUAACCAAGCUCUGUCUCAACACGAGGAGGAGGUAUGAACAACAUGGAUGAACAUAUUCAUUAAUUGUCUCUUUCUUUACAUGGCAUUCACACAUGUGGGUCCUAAUUCUUUGCUUUUUGCAGCCUUUCUUCUUCAAGCCUUCAACCUGGUAUAAUAUAUCACCCUCUCUUCAAACAUCUUCUGUUGCCAUCAAAUAAUCAACAUAGCUCAUACAACAUGUACAUAUGUCAGAGCUCUAGUGAAUGAUCCUGGCCUAUGUUUUUCAAUUGCAGGAUUUGCCAUUAAUUCACUGAACCAGGUGGCGGAUCUUAUCAGUAAGAUUAUUCUUGCAUAUAAGUCUAUUUCCAGUUUUAGCUUCUAGUUCGUAGCAUUCGGUAGCUUGAACACACAUGUAACUUAUGAUGGCAUUCCAAUUGCACUACAUCUAGAACAUAUCUGAUUUUUUUCCUAGUGUUUCUUUUUUUUUGGGAAAUCACUUGAAAAUGGAGUUCCUAUCUGCUAAUAAACUUCUGUGAUGAUAUUCAGUGGAAUGUUUCAAUAUUGGUGAAUCACUGGAGUUUCUUCAAUCAAGUAAGAAGGAAGGUAAUUAAUUCACAUUUGCCUCGUUUAAAAAAGGAUCGCACUUAUUUCAUCCUUGAUUUUAGCCACUUGUCAUUGUGUCCAUAUGCUUCCUCUCUGAGAUUUGAACUGGAUGUGUAAUUUGUUCGAUCCUUUCGGGCAACAUCUGCAUACUAUUAUCUCAAGUAGCUUUCCUUCCCUUUCAAGUUCAGUUUCCGGCAUGGGUAUUUUGGGAGACAGUAGCCUGGCAUGUUAAUUAACUUGAUUAUAUGCGUAAUUAGUUCAAAUAAGUUAUCUUACUUUGACACCUUGUAUCUUGCUUGUUUACUAGUUUCAUGCACUUCAUCUUUAUUACCACCAGUUAUUUCUCUUGAUUACUGCAAACAAUUUAUAAUGUAUGUUUGUUGCUUUUGAAUUGUUCCGGUAGAUUUACGGGUAAGGUACUUAUGUGUUGUGGCUUAUAAGCUGUAGUACUUUAGAUGCUACAUUCUUUGGUGUCCCUUAUAGUUUGCCCCUAUAUUUGCUAGUUACACUACAAAAAUAUCUGUAGU
rnacentral:lncRNA from 1 species